GAUGAACGCUGACAGAAUGCUUAACACAUGCAAGUCUUUGGCGAAUCUGUGCUUGCACAGGCUAGCCAAGGCGGACGGGUGAGUAACGCGUAAAGAACUUGCCCUGCAGACAGGGAUAACAGACGGAAACGACUGAUAACACCUGAUACAGUUUCCGGCACGCAUGUGCCUGGCAAUGAAAAGAGAUGCUGCAGGAGAGCUUUGCGUCCUAUUAGCUUGUUGGUGAGGUGACGGCUCACCAAGGCGAUGAUAGGUAGCCGGCCUGAGAGGGUGAACGGCCACAAGGGGACUGAGAUACGGCCCUUACUACUACGGGAGGAAGCAGUGGGGAAUAUUGGACAAUGGGGGCAACACUGAUGCAGCAAUUCUGUGUGUACGAAGACGGUUUUCGGAUUGUAAAGUGCUUUCAGCAGGGAAGAAGAAAGUGACGGUACCUGCAGAAGAAGCGACGGCUAAAUACGUG
rnacentral:rRNA from 1 species